UUAUUAGGAUACGAAGAUUGAACUGCAUUCUUAUCAAACUAUUUUGAUCUUCCGCUCUUAAUUGUAAUUUUGAUAUCGAUAAAUAAAUUUAAUACUGUCUUAGACGCGUUUACACUGUAAGGAGAAAAGGAUCAUCUACUGUCACGCCCCGGAUUACUCGUUUUUCCGGACACGCCGACAAAUUCGUCGUAUACAAAAAAAAUUUUCCUAUAUACGAAGCGAAAUAGUACAAGAACCUGUAAUCAAACAAUACUACAACCAGUAGUAUAGAGCUGCUAAAAAGAAAUAAAAUAUAAUUAAAAACAGAAGUUUACGAUACAUAUAUAAUAUCCAGGUGUACAAAACGCUCGCUUCAGCGAGAUACAACAUAAGUAUGUAUAAGAGAUCUAACUCCGCUGUAGCUGGUAUACUCCAUAUCAGCAGCAACUAGGAAGAGAUCUAACUCGCGACUCUCUUUCCACGAUCAGAAUCCGCAGUAGCAGCAGCCGCAACCGAAGACUCUACAAAAGAUUUCAACAACUAGGGAUGAGAACUACUGCAAAAACAAGUAGUUCUCAGUGGGUUCCGCCCUCAAACACAUCGACUCACCCACCAAGUCUACGGAUGUAUACUCGAAUGAUAAAAAGGGAACUGAAAAUAAUCUACAGCUAUAUACCACUAUACUAUCAUGAUCCGACACUACUAUUUGUAGAAUAAGACAAACUCUGACCCAAUUUUACUAGCGACUGUAAAUAUAGCCGUCCCAGGAACUGUGAACACACCCGUCCCGCCUGUCGAAGCUAUACAGCUAUCUCCACACUAAGCAGUCCAUGGAGAGUAAGUCCAACUAGGACACAACGACACCAACGCAAACGUACAAAACCCGACUCUAAAGUGGCAUUCGUGGACGCUAUCCAACCGAAUAUGUAAGCAUAUCUCUGUCGAUCUUAAUCAUGCUCUUACAGGGUAAAAUCCAAUUAAAUAGGGCCCAACUGGUCUAACAAUCAAACUCACAUGCUCUCGGCACAAUCUGAUGCAAAAAUAGCAAUCUGGGUCCAUCGUCAACCUCAACGGCACCUGACAAUCCAAAACAGCCUAAAAUAUUACUGUAAAAAUAAGCUCAGCAUCCCAGUACGAGCGUAAAUACAUUCUACACUAUCCUGAGUAUCCACCACCCACAAACUGUGGUGAUACCAACAAACUACGGUUUCUAGAGUUGAAUCUGGUAGUUUUAACAUAUGACGGUGUAGAAACGCCAGUUUUUUUCUAAGUCAAAUCCAAGUCCAAUAUAUAUAUUUAACUAACAUUUUAAGCUCCAAACUCAGAUU
rnacentral:lncRNA from 1 species